rnacentral:lncRNA from 1 species
AGCAAAUCUUGCUUCUAUGUAGUACUUUUAUUGGGUCUUCAAACCUCCUUCAACAAACUCCUUUCAUACUUUCAAAAGCUUCAGCUGCCAUGCCAUUCUAAUCCAGCCACAAGAUUUGUGUAAUUUCAGUGCCUAAGAGAUGGGUUGUGUCCCAACUACAAUAUAUCGAAGGUGGAGUUCAACAAUGGCUUUUUCUAGCUCAACCCCAAUUUUGUCCUCUUUCUUUAUUCUAAUCUUAUCUCUUUGUCAAUUAUUUAUAUGUCAUUUCUUGCAGAAGACCUUGAUUCUUAACUAGAAUGUACAAAUCCAAGAAGACCAAAAGACUUGGCUGCUCUUCUCCACAAGGUGGCUGGUGAGAAUCCUACGUUCCCUUGAUCCUUGGCUGACCCCAAGCCAAGCUUGUGGGUUUUGUCAUUCAAUUUAUUUCUUAUUUGGUUAUUGCUAUUAUAAAUAACAAUAUCUUUGUUUUGGCUAGGCCUUUGGGUUUGCAUUUGACUUGGUAUGAGAUUAGGACUACUUGACUUAGUUUGAGAUUGGAAACCACACCCAAACAUUGCCCCCUUGAUUCCUUGGCCUUCGAUUGGUGGAGGGUAAGUAAUAAAAAUUCUUACGACUAUUUAGUUUUCUCUAUAUGUUUCAACUGCAUGCUUUACUGUAGCAAUUUAUGGUGUUUUGAACUUAAUUUAUGUUUAGGGAGAUACCCUAAUCAAUUUUCGAGAGACCUUUGAACUUCAUAACCAUUAAAAAACCUAGGCAUUAUAAUACCAAUUUGCCUCUAAAUGAUCAUAUUAUUCAGUUGAUUUCCAGUGUUCAUGUUGGCUUUCCUAGUAGUGGGGUGGAUAGAUGUAUUUAGCAGUUCACGCCUAACGGUUCAUUUUCCAUUAAGUCAACAUAUAGCUCUUUUCUUCUAAAUGAGGUUGUAGCUAAAUGGGAUUGGCAGUUUAUUUGGAAUUUGCUUCCCCUCCCAAGGUUAAAAUUUUCCUUCUGAUUGUUUGCCAUCAGAAGUUACUUAUUAAUGUACAGAGGAAGAAAAGGGGAGUCACUCAGAUUUCUUCAUGCCCUAGAUGUGCUUAUCCUAUGAAAAAUAUUGCUCACAUAUUUAAGGAUUGUCCUCUCUCUCUCUCUCUCUCUCUCUCUCUCUCUCUUUCUAGCCAUUUGGAAUGGUUUUCGAGUUGAGGAUAGGCUUAUCCCUGAUGGGAUGGCUUUCGAAGAAUGGUUAUUAAGAAAUUUGCAGGCUAAAAGGAAGGAGUAUAAUAGUUUGCCUUGGC